GACGAACGCUGGCGGCGUGCUUAACACAUGCAAGUCGAACGGAAAGGCCUCUUUCGGGGGGUACUCGAGUGGCGAACGGGUGAGUAACACGUGAGUAACCUGCCCUUGACUUUGGGAUAACUUCAGGAAACUGGGGCUAAUACCGGAUAGGAGCUCCUGCUGCAUGGUGGGGGUUGGAAAGUUUCGGCGGUUGGGGAUGGACUCGCGGCUUAUCAGCUUGUUGGUGGGGUAGUGGCUUACCAAGGCUUUGACGGGUAGCCGGCCUGAGAGGGUGACCGGCCACAUUUGGACUGAGAUACGGCCCAGACUCCUACGGGAGGCAGCAGUGGGGAAUAUUGCACAAUGGGUGGAAGCCUGAUGCAGCAACGCCGUGUGCGGGAUGACGGCCUUCGGGUUGGAAACCGCUUUCGCUCAUGACGAAGCUUUGUGUGACGGUAGUGGGUAAAGAAGCACCGGCUAACUACGUG
rnacentral:rRNA from 1 species